AAUAUUGCGCAAUGGGGGAAACCCUGACGCAGCGACGCCGCGUGAGCGAAGAAGGCCGUAGGGUCGUAAAGCUCUGUUAUAAGGGGCGAAGGUUACCAUGGUUACUACCCGUGGUAAGUGACGGUACCUUAUGAGUAAGCCCCGGCUAACUUAGUGCCAGCCGCCGCGGUAAGACGUAGGGGGCGAGCGGUGUACGGAAUUACUGGGCGUAAAGAGCAAGUAGGCGGGAAUUUAAGUCAGGUGUGAAAGACCGCAGCUUAACUGCGGGGUUGCACUUGAAACUGGAUUUCUUGAGGGCAGGAGAGGAAAGCAGAAUUCCUGGUGUAGCGGUGAAAUGCGUAGAAAUCAGGAGGAAUACCAGUGGCGAAGGCGGCUUUCUGGACUGACCCUGACGCUGAGGUGCGAAAGCGUGGGUAGCAAAC
rnacentral:rRNA from 1 species